rnacentral:rRNA from 1 species
GGGGAAUAUUGCACAAUGGGCGAAAGCCUGAUGCAGCAACGCCGCGUGAGUGAUGAAGGUCUUCGGAUUGUAAAGCUCUGUCUUUUGGGACGAUAAUGACGGUACCAAAGGAGGAAGCCACGGCUAACUACGUGCCAGCAGCCGCGGUAAUACGUAGGUGGCGAGCGUUGUCCGGAUUUACUGGGCGUAAAGGGUGCGUAGGCGGAUGUUUAAGUGAGAUGUGAAAUACCCGGGCUUAACUUGGGUGCUGCAUUUCAAACUGGAUAUCUAGAGUGCAGGAGAGGAGAAUGGAAUUCCUAGUGUAGCGGUGAAAUGCGUAGAGAUUAGGAAGAACACCAGUGGCGAAGGCGAUUCUCUGGACUGUAACUGACGCUGAGGCACGAAAGCGUGGGUAGCAAACAGGAUUAGAUACCCUGGUAGUCCACGCCGUAAACGAUGAGUACUAGGUGUAGGAGGUAUCGACCCCUUCUGUGCCGCAGUAAACACAUUAAGUACUCCGCCUGGGAA